rnacentral:rRNA from 1 species
UCAUACGUAGGACCCAAGCGUUAUCCGGAAUUACUGGGCGUAAAGAGUUGCGUAGGUGGCAUAAUAAGUGAAGCGUGAAAGCGUGCGGCUCAACCGCAUAUCCGCGUUUCAAACUAUUAAGCUUGAGUAUAAGAGAGGUAGAUGGAAUUUCUAGUGUAGGAGUGAAAUCCGUAGAUAUUAGAAGGAACACCGAUGGCGUAGGCAGUCUACUGGCUUAUUACUGACACUAAGGCACGAAAGCGUGGGGAGCGAACAGG